ACUCAAAUGAAUUGACGGGGGCCCGCACAAGCGGUGGAGUAUGUGGUUUAAUUCGAAGCAACGCGCAGAACCUUACCUGGGCUUAACAUCCCCUGACAGCGGCAGAGAUGUCGUGUUCCCUUCGGGGACAGGGAGAUAGGUGCUGCAUGGCUGUCGUCAGCUCGUGUCGUAAGAUGUUGGGUUAAGUCCCGCAACGAGCGCAACCCUUGUCCUUAGUUGCCACCAUUAAGUUGGGCACUCUGAGGAGACUGCCGGUGUUAAACCGGAGGAAGGCGGGGAUGACGUCAAGUCCUCAUGGCCCUUACGUCCAGGGCUACACACGUACUACAAUGGCAGAGACAAAGGGUCGCGAAGCCGUGAGGUGAAGCCAAUCCCAAAAACACUGUCUCAGUCCGGAUUGAAGUCUGCAACUCGACUUCAUGAAGCUGGAAUCGCUAGUAAUCGCAGAUCAGCACGCUGCGGUGAAUACGUUCCCGGGCCUUGUACACACCGCCCGU
rnacentral:rRNA from 1 species